rnacentral:rRNA from 1 species
GACGAACGCUGGCGGCGUGCUUAACACAUGCAAGUCGAGCGAUGAAGCUCCUUCGGGAGUGGAUUAGCGGCGGACGGGUGAGUAACACGUGGGUAACCUGCCUCAUAGAGGGGAAUAGCCUUCCGAAAGGAAGAUUAAUACCGCAUAAGAUUGUAGUGCCGCAUGGCAUAGCAAUUAAAGGAGCAAUUCGCUAUGAGAUGGACCCGCGUCGCAUUAGCUAGUUGGUGAGGUAACGGCUCACCAAGGCGACGAUGCGUAGCCGACCUGAGAGGGUGAUCGGCCACAUUGGGACUGAGACACGGCCCAGACUCCUACGGGAGGCAGCAGUGGGGAAUAUUGCACAAUGGGGGAAACCCUGAUGCAGCAACGCCGCGUGAGUGAUGAAGGUCUUCGGAUUGUAAAACUCUGUCUUCAGGGACGAUAAUGACGGUACCUGAGGAGGAAGCCACGGCUAACUACGUGCCAGCCGCCGCAGUAACAC